rnacentral:rRNA from 1 species
AACGAACGCUGGCGGCAGGCCUAACACAUGCAAGUCGAGCGCCCUUUCGGGGGAGCGGCGGACGGGUGAGUAACGCGUGGGAAUAUGCCCUUCUCUACGGAAUAGCCUCGGGAAACUGAGAGUAAUACCGUAUACGCCCUGUGGGGGAAAGAUUUAUCGGGGAAGGAUUAGCCCGCGUUGGAUUAGGUAGUUGGUGGGGUAAUGGCCUACCAAGCCGACGAUCCAUAGCUGGUUUGAGAGGAUGAUCAGCCACACUGGGACUGAGACACGGCCCAGACUCCUACGGGAGGCAGCAGUGGGGAAUCUUAGACAAUGGGGGCAACCCUGAUCUAGCCAUGCCGCGUGAGUGAUGAAGGCCUUAGGGUUGUAAAGCUCUUUCAGCUGGGAAGAUAAUGACGGUACCAGCAGAAGAACCCCCGGCUAACUCCGUG